CCUGGGGGAGGCAGCAGGGGGGAAUAUUGCACAAUGGGGGAAACCAUGAUGCAGCGACGCCGGGGAGAGAAGAUCUUUUUAUGAUAAAAAUCCUUCUCGGGGAGGACAAUAAUGACGUUCCACGAGANNCCCAGUUG
rnacentral:rRNA from 1 species